GACGAACGCUGGCGGCGUGCUUAACACAUGCAAGUCGAACGGGCUCUGUCUGGCUGUGUGCUGGGUGGGGUUAGUGGCGACCGGGUGAGUACUACGUGAGUAACCUGCCCUCUUCUUUGGGAUAAGCCUUGGAAACGGGGUCUAAUACUGGAUAUUCCUGUCUGGUCGCAUGGCUGGGUGGGGAAAGUUUUUUCGGUGGGGGAUGGGCUCGCGGCCUAUCAGCUUGUUGGUGGGGUGAUGGCCUACCAAGGCGUCGACGGGUAGCCGGCCUGAGAGGGUGACCGGCGACACUGGGACUGAGACACGACCCAGACUCGUACGGGAGGCAGCAGUGGGGGAUAUUGCACAAUGGGCGCAAGCCUGAUGCAGCGACGCCGCGUGGGGGAUGACGGCUUUCGGGUUGUAAACCUCUUUCGUCGGGGGACAAGGCUCUGCUUGGUGGUGGGGUUGAGGGUACCCGGUGAAGAAGCGCCGGCUAACUACGUG
rnacentral:rRNA from 1 species